UUUAAAUACCAGCAACAAAGAUGAUGGAGCCUUUAUUCUUCAGAAAUCCUAUGCAUCUCUUGCUCUGCCCAAUAAAAAGCAAUGCAACCAUCUCUUCAAAUACCCCCCAAUCCAUAUCCAUAUUCCAAUUAUAAUACAUCUGCAACAAAAAAGAAAGAAAUUGUUGCAUUCCUCACGUUUCCAAUUCAAUGUUGAAUCUCUACAAUGGUAUGGAUAUGGUUUCUCUUCAAUGAGCUUCGCCCGUUAGCAAUGUCGCCUGCAGUUAAAGCUAGGUUAAGAAGAUGUUAUGGCAUGCCAUCCUCCAAAAAUGAGGAGUUAAAUAGCUUUGAAUGCAUAUUUCAUGAUAUGGAGAUGUGAUUGGCAGAAUUACUUUGAAUCCUAAUCCACAGAAAAUCACAAUACGAGAUGGAAAAGACAAAAAACUCUUAGAUCUCAUUUUAGAAGAUACCGAGUGAGUUAUCCUGUACAUAUUUUAUUUACAUUAAUAAAACUUUUGUGUUUUCCUUAAAUGUACUAUUGUUUGAAGUGGAAAAAGAAUUUCAUGUACUCUAUGGGAUGAUUAUGUUGAUUUAUUCAUGAAAAACUAUGAAGAACGUGAAUUGGAUG